CUACGGGGCGCAGCAGUGAGGAAUAUUGCACAAUGGGGGGAACCCUGAUGCAGCAACGCCGCGUGGAGGAUGACGCAUUUCGGUGUGUAAACUCCUUUUAUAUGUCAAGAAAAUGACGGUAGCAUAUGAAUAAGCACCGGCUAACUCCGUGCCAGCAGCCGCGGUAAUACGGAGGGUGCAAGCGUUACUCGGAAUCACUGGGCGUAAAGGACGCGUAGGCGGGUUGGAAAGUCAGGUGUGAAAUCCUACAGCUUAACUGUAGAACUGCACUUGAAACUUCUAAUCUAGAGUAUGGGAGGGGGAGAUGGAAUUAGUGGCGUAGGGGUAAAAUCCGUAGAUAUCACUAGGAAUACCUAAGGCGAAGGCGAUCUCCUGGAACAUUACUGACGCUAAGGCGUGAAAGCGUGGGGAGCAAACAGGAUUAGAUACCCUUGUAGUC
rnacentral:rRNA from 1 species